GGCCCACCGCAGGACCUGCUCUGUCAGCUCAGCGAGUGUGUCUGCGCGGGAGAAGCUUGGCGGUGGGAAGGGUGGGCAUCCCAGGGGGCUUUGCUUCUUUCCACGGUGGGCUCACACGAGUUAGCAGGACUCAUACCAGCGUGUGAACAUUUCCAGAUGGCUUGACCACUCGGAGCGUGAUAGAGCUGGAAGAGAGACACAGAAAGAGAGAGGCAAAGACACAGGCAGAUGGAGAAGCAGAUACCUCAGGGGGAGCCUGAUGCGGACUCAAUCCCAGGACCCCGGGGAUCAUGACCUGAGCUUUAUGGUAUCAUAAAGGUAACCCCUGACAGAUGAUGAGAUGGCAGGCCAGAGCUGUCCAGUGGAACCUUCCCGGUGGCGGAGCUGUACCCUGUGGUUCUGUACCCGUGCCGUACCACGUGCUGUCAGCUGGCCACCUGUGGCGAUGGCAGCUGAAAACCUGUGUCCCUGCCUUCAGUGCUUAAUCACGGAAAACCGAAUGUCCCUUGGUGUUUGGUGCUCUGUAUGGGGAACAGCUCAGCUGUGGAGACAACAAAAGAAGGCUGCCUCUAAGGGCAGUGUCAGCCACCUCCCUGCCCCACUCUCAGAGUCUCGAGGAAUGAGGAAAUUGGGAGCUCUGCGGAGAUACCCUGGCAUCCCAAAGCCCCCUGCACCCUGGAAAGUGUUUCUUAAACACCACUGAGGGGAGUGAAGACAUUCAAUGACCUACAUUAAUACUGAUGCUUAGACACAAAUGUGGGCCAGAGUUGAAGACUGUCACUGGGAACCUAAUGGCCAGCUUGAUUUCCAGAGGCUCCAUGGUCUCCUGGACAGUCCUUGCGGCUGCACAGAGAUGGGGCUUGCUGGGUUGUAUGCUCUGGACCUACCUCACUGUGGGGAGUCCUGUGCUUGGGUCCACGCGGACAGAGCAUGCGUGCACAUCCCUGGUGUGAACUACUUUCACACCACUAAGAUAUUUUUUUAGGCCCAGCAGAUGUGCGGUUAGCCCUAGAUGGUGUCUGGGGAGCCCUGGUUUGAGUAGACCUAAUUUUAGUAAGUCAAAUACAAAUUACA